rnacentral:rRNA from 1 species
GACGAACGCUGGCGGCGUGCUUAACACAUGCAAGUCGAACGAUGAAGCCGCUUCGGUGGUGGAUUAGUGGCGAACGGGUGAGUAACACGUGGGCAAUCUGCCCUUCACUCUGGGACAAGCCCUGGAAACGGGGUCUAAUACCGGAUAACGACUCUGUCCCGCAUGGGACGGGGUUGAAAGCUCCGGCGGUGAAGGAUGAGCCCGCGGCCUAUCAGCUUGUUGGUGGGGUAAUGGCCUACCAAGGCGACGACGGGUAGCCGGCCUGAGAGGGCGACCGGCCACACUGGGACUGAGACACGGCCCAGACUCCUACGUGGAGGCAGCAGUGGGGAAUAUUGCACAAUGGGCGAAAGCCUGAUGCAGCGACGCCGCGUGAGGGAUGACGGCCUUCGGGUUGUAAACCUCUUUCAGCAGGGAAGAAGCGAAAGUGACGGUACCUGCAGAAGAAGCGCCGGCUAACUACGUGCCAGCAGCCGCGGUAAUACGUAGGGCGCAAGCGUUGUCCGGAAUUAUUGGGCGUAAAGAGCUCGUAGGCGGCUUGUCACGUCGGAUGUGAAAGCCCGGGGCUUAACCCCGGGUCUGCAUUCGAUACGGGCUAGCUAGAGUGUGGUAGGGGAGAUCGGAAUUCCUGGUGUAGCGGUGAAAUGCGCAGAUAUCAGGAGGAACACCGGUGGCGAAGGCGGAUCUCUGGGCCAUUACUGACGCUGAGGAGCGAAAGCGUGGGGAGCGAACAGGAUUAGAUACCCUGGUAGUCCACGCCGUAAACGUUGGGAACUAGGUGUUGGCGACAUUCCACGUCGUCGGUGCCGCAGCUAACGCAUUAAGUUCCCCGCCUGGGGAGUACGGGCCGCAAGGCUAAAACUCAAAGGAAUUGACGGGGGGCCCGCACAAGCAGCGGAGCAUGUGGCUUAAUUCGACGCAACGCGAAGAACCUUACCAAAGGCUUGACAUAUACCGGAAAGCAUCAGAGAUGGUGCCCCCCUUGUGGUCGGUAUACAGGUGGUGCAUGGCUGUCGUCAGCUCGUGUCGUGAGAUGUUGGGUUAAGUCCCGCAACGAGCGCAACCCUUGUUCUGUGUUGCCAGCAUGCCCUUCGGGGUGAUGGGGACUCACAGGAGACUGCCGGGGUCAACUCGGAGGAAGGUGGGGACGACGUCAAGUCAUCAUGCCCCUUAUGUCUUGGGCUGCACACGUGCUACAAUGGCCGGUACAAUGAGCUGCGAUGCCGCGAGGCGGAGCGAAUCUCAAAAAGCCGGUCUCAGUUCGGAUUGGGGUCUGCAACUCGACCCCAUGAAGUCGGAGUUGCUAGUAAUCGCAGAUCAGCAUUGCUGCGGUGAAUACGUUCCCGGGCCUUGUACACACCGCCCGUCACGUCACGAAAGUCGGUAACACCCGAAGCCGG